AGUAACACGUGGGCAACCUGCCUUACAGAGGGGGAUAGCCUUCCGGAAGGAAGAUUAAUACCGCAUAUUAUGAUUUUUCUGCAUGGGAAAGUCAUGAAAGGAAGCAAUCCGCUGUAAGAUGGGCCCGCGGCGCAUUAGCUAGUUGGUGAGGUAAGGGCUCACCCAAGGCGACGAUGCGUAGCCGACCUGAGAGGGUGAUCGGCCACAUUGGGACUGAGACACGGCCCAGACUCCUACGGGAGGCCAGCAUG
rnacentral:rRNA from 1 species